GAGAGCGUUGUUUGGUCCGUCCUGAUUUAUCUGACUCAACCCGAUAGGCCGAAACUGCGGGCGAAGCCGGAAAGGGAGGAGGGGUUCGGAAGGAAUCCAAUCCAGGUUGACUCCACCAGCGAGAUGCACAGGCGCCGCUGCCCACCUGGUGGCCGAGACCCGACUGGAGGUGACUCGGCUUCUCAAGUCCUCUACUCUGCCAGCCUUGGGCGUGGACCCUGCAGCUUGGGCCAGGGUGCCAUGCACCCCGGGACUUGUCUCACUUCCUGUUCGCCGAGACCCAGGCCACGCUGGGCCCUCCCCACUCCACAGAUGAGGAAGCUGAGGUUAAAGUGACUUGCCCCAGGUCACUCCACAAGUGCUACCAGGAUACUCUGGAACAGUAUGCCUGAUCUCAGAGGAGAGGCGUGUAACCACUAGGCAACUGGCCCCACGAAAAGAACAAGUCCCACAACUUCCCUUCUUUGGCUCCUAUUUGCUCCUGGAAGAAAAGCCUUAAAUGGUAUUUAAGCCCUUUGGGGUCUGAGGUCUUAGGACUGCACUCUGGCCUUCCAGUCUGAGGUGGUUCUAGACCCUCCUCCCACUGCCCCUUCCUUCACCUGGCCACCUCCUCCCACAGGUGUCUUCCUGGUACUCUGGCACAGGCCGGAGUCUCUUACCAUCGCGGCCUUAUCCUGCUCUGGUGCUCUCAGUAACGUUUUCUUCAUUUCCUGCCUUUCUUUCUUUCCAAAGAAUUUUGCUAAACCCAACCAGGCCAGCCCAGGGACUAGGGACAAGCACAGCCUGCUUCUGCGUUCUGCCUGCUUCAGGCAAUUCAGGGCAGAGCGCAGAGACGUGACAUUACAUACGGUGGUGAGCAGAG